rnacentral:rRNA from 1 species
AACGAACGCUGGCGGCAUGCCUAACACAUGCAAGUCGAACGAUGCUUUCGGGCAUAGUGGCGCACGGGUGCGUAACGCGUGGGAAUCUGCCCUUGGGUUCGGAAUAACAGUGAGAAAUUGCUGCUAAUACCGGAUGAUGUCUUCGGACCAAAGAUUUAUCGCCCAGGGAUGAGCCCGCGUAGGAUUAGCUAGUUGGUGGGGUAAUGGCCUACCAAGGCGACGAUCCUUAGCUGGUCUGAGAGGAUGAUCAGCCACACUGGGACUGAGACACGGCCCAGACUCCUACGGGAGGCAGCAGUGGGGAAUAUUGGACAAUGGGCGCAAGCCUGAUCCAGCAAUGCCGCGUGAGUGAUGAAGGCCUUAGGGUUGUAAAGCUCUUUUACCCGGGAUGAUAAUGACAGUACCGGGAGAAUAAGCUCCGGUUAACUCCGUG